rnacentral:rRNA from 1 species
UACGUAGGGGGCAAGCGUUGUCCGGAUUUAUUGGGCGUAAAGAGCGUGUAGGCGGCUAGGUAGGUCCGUUGUGAAAACUCGAGGCUCAACCUCGAGACGCCGGUGGAAACCAUCUAGCUAGAGUCCGGAAGAGGAGAGUGGAAUUCCCGGUGUAGCGGUGAAAUGCGCAGAUAUCGGGAAGAACACCCGUGGCUAAGGCGGCUCUCUAGUACGGUACUGACGCUGAGACGCGAAAGCGUGGGGGGCGAACAGG